GCACCUAUAGCUCCAAUGGUAGAGCAGAGAGCUGUUAACUCUUUGGUUGGUGGUUCGAAUCCAUCUAGGUGCGCCA
rnacentral:tRNA from 2 species